rnacentral:rRNA from 1 species
CUACGGGAGGCAGCAGUGGGGAAUAUUGCGCAAUGGGGGAAACCCUGACGCAGCAACGCCGCGUGCGGGAUGACGGCCUUCGGGUUGUAAACCGCUUUCAGCAGGGAAGAUAAUGACGGUACCUGCAGAAGAAGCCCCGGCUAACUACGUGCCAGCAGCCGCGGUAAUACGUAGGGGGCGAGCGUUAUCCGGAUUUAUUGGGCGUAAAGCGCGCGCAGGCGGCCACUCAAGCGAAACCUCUAAUCUUGCAGCUCAACUCCAAGCCGGGUUUCGAACUGGGUGGCUCGAGUGCGGUAGAGAAGGAUGGAAUUCCCGGUGUAGCGGUGGAAUGCGUAGAUAUCGGGAAGAACACCGAUGGCGAAGGCAGUCCUCUGGGCCGUCACUGACGCUGAGGCGCGAAAGCUGGGGGAGCGAACAGGAUUAGAAACCCUAGUAGUCC